rnacentral:tRNA from 1 species
GGUGGCUCAGCAGUAGAGUGCUUGCCUAGCAUGCAUGAGGCCCUGGGUUCGAUUCCUCAGCACCA